rnacentral:ncRNA from 2 species
CGAACCUUCUGCAACUGACGGAAUAAAGGUGGUUACCACCGGGAAGCGGAAGAUGAAAGGGACAGGCCGGCCGUCUGGGCGAUUUAG